rnacentral:lncRNA from 1 species
UGAAGAUUAAGGAGGGGCCUAUUUAUAUAGAGGAUUGAAUCUGGAUGUGUCAGGACAAAAGGCACGACUAUUCAGCUCCAUUGUAUUAAUUAUAUUCAAACUGCUGGCAUUUUAUUUUUUGUGAAAAAUUGCGAGUUUUUCUUUUACAUUAAUACUUGUCACCUUUUUAAAAUGGUUUGAGAUGUGAUAACAGUCGUUAUUAUUGAGCUGUUGCAACAGAUUGUCCAUCUGUCGUAAUGAAUUUACAAUCUGUUGCAACAGAUGGUCUGUAUGUGCAACAGAUGGUCUGUCACAACAGAUUUGCCAUCUGCUGCAAUAUCUGUUUUGCAAAAAUUUUGACUUUUUGAGAAGAGUCGCCACUUAAUUUUGAAAAGGAAUUAAGAAACCUUUAGAGAGUUAUUUCAAAUGAUUCAAAACAGAAAAAUCAUUUUAAGUUAGAGAUUCUGGAUAAGCGGUUCCUAUUAACAUUUUAGGAAGGUGUUAGGCACCUAAAACGUCCGCUAACUUGCGAUUAUCCGGACUAUUUGAAAAUCAUCUUUUGAUUAACUUUGCAAAAAUUAAUUUUGUCAAAAAGUGAUUGAUUUUUUGGAAAGAAAGAAAUUUUGGAAAUAUUUUGGUGUUUAUGCAAAACUAAUUUUUUAGCGACUUAACUAAGGAUUUAACUAGGUUCGCAAAGCACAUAAGGAAAACAAACAUAAAGAACAGAGGGAAGGGGAGGAAGUAAGGGAUUUAGACCAUUGGCCCAAACCAACAAAACCUGUCCUAGUCUAAUUGGGCCUUCGACCCAUUUCACCUGUCCUAAUCUAGUUUUCGAGCGUUUGGCUCGAAUCUUGCCUUCACCUGUGUUAAAUACAACCUUGGCUUCAUGACCCAAAUGAAUGAAUAAAAUAAAUAAACUAAUAAAAUAAAUAAAGACAACAAUAAUUAAACGAAAUGAAAUAAUAAAUAAGACUUUUGUCUCUUAACCGCUUCAAGAAUGGGACUUUAACCCAUUUCUUCUUCUUUCGACUUCAUGCGUCAGUUCAUUACUUAACCAGCUUUGGGCUUUCUUUUAAAGUAGACUUGAUAGAAAGAUGGGUCAUGUUGGACCAUUAUGAGAUGCGUCGAUAAAGAGUCCAUUUGGACUCCUACGAAUUUUCAUGAAAAAUUAGAAAAAAUAAAGGAAAUUAAUAUACUACCAUUGAGAGGAAUAAGAAGAAAAAAUGAAUUAACUUAUUAAUCAACCUAUCAACUAUGGACAACCACCGCAAAGUCCAUAAGACAAGGAUAAUGCAUGCAUGCCCGACCCUUAUUGUAAAAUAAAACUAUGCUUUGUUACACACUAUCAAUAAAAUAGUACAUGAGGAAUACAAGAAAGGUAAGAGAUAACAACAGAAAAUAAGAUGUCCUACUGUUCAAUCAAGCACUCUACUACAAGAAAGACAUUCAACAAUUCAAUCAUGCACUUAGAUAUAAGAAAGACAUAUAGCAACACUACAUUAGGCAAGACACGCAAACUCGAAAGAGAAAUCAACCUUCAGAACACAAAUCGCGCUUCAGUGAACCCUUUUUUGAUAUGUAAAGUCAUGGAGUAUUUUAGGCAAUUAUUGUUUAACAAAAGGGCAGUAGGCUUUUGAAGAUGGAGGUGGACCAUUGUAAUGCUCUACUCUCUCUCUCAACCUUGCUUUUGGGAGUAAAACGAAUAUAACUUCGUACCUCCUUUCUUGUCGUUAUCGACCAAGAAGAAAAAAAAAUCUGAGAAUCCUUGAAUAUGAUAGAAACCACACGUAUUACAUACUAACAACAAAGUGAGAUAUUCUCUUCAAACAGACCCACUCAAGUAUCAUUAAUUCGACAAGAAUGCUAUCAAAUUUACCUUCUAAUUAGAACAUAUACUAAGCAUAAAUCCAAAGGAAAACAAAAAUCAAAACUUCCAAUUUUUAACACAAAAAGGCAUAGCCAGCAAACUGAAAGGGAAGUGCUGGCACAUUAUUUGAAUCCUCCUCCUCAUCGUUCCAGCGAAUCUCAAAAGUAUUUUUUAUAGUCAAACUGGUCAUCGAAGAAUCAUAGGAUUUUUUAGUAUACCAUUGGACGUUUCCUGAUCAUUCUUUUGGGAUUUGAGAAGCCAAAGUACCUCAAGAGGUAGUCCUAUCAACGACGCCAUCAGCUCAACAGUUACAACAACAUCCAAUAAUAACAACAGAUAAGAUAAUGCCAAAUAACAACUACACACAAGAUAGACAUCAGGCUGAACUGUUAAAUCUAAUCAUGAAAAUUUAACAAUGAAACCAGCUUUAGCAUGAUACUAGCAGCCCGAAACAAAAUCCAAACACGUGACUUUAGUGUGAAAAACCAGCUUAUUCAAGACAUCAUUGGCCCAACACUUACUAAAACAUGAACCUUUGACGUAAAAUCAAUUAUAACAAGACCCCAUUAACCCGAAAACCACUAAAGCAUGUAACUUCAAACCAUGAAAUCAACCAUAACAACAUAUCAUCAACCAAAAUUCGCAACGCAUGGGAUUUGAGCAAGAUCAGCUAUACGGACUUUAAACAGUACACAAAAAGUGAGAGUAUAAAAUCAAAAAAUCUACCAACAACUACCUAUGGAUAUCAAAUCCAUCUACCAACAAACAAUUCCAACAUACAAUGUUACUAAAAAAUUUAUUCACGACUAUGAAAGAUUGAGAUGAAGCAGAAGAGAUCGAAACUUGAACGGAAAAGGAUAUUACCUAUUCAGGAGCAGCAAAAUGAGACGACGAACUGGUUACAGAGAUCAUGACCACCAGAAAACUUCUUCACCGUCAACUCAAAACAUUAAUUUAGCCUACCAACUUUCAAAACAAGGACAAAAUUCCUACUCCAGACUCAAUUUUCUCAAAAAUUUCUUUCUCUUUAUCUUUCUUCCUUGGAUUUUUCUGAAUCCAAAAAUUCUAACUUAGCUUUUCUAAAUAAUUCCCCUCUUCCAGACCCAAGAUUUUGAACCCUAACAACAGUGACCCAGAAGAAAAACCAUCCUUUUUUUUCUUGCUCUAAAGAGAGCUAUUUAUAGAAAGGGGGAUUAAGGGUUCAUUUUUUGAAUUCAAAAUAUGAGAAUGCUAACAAAUUGUACCCCUUAUUGGAUUUCUCCCCCCCAAAUUCGGAAUAAGUAUCCAAUAGGAAUGAGGAGACCAGAAUUAUUUCAUGAACCAAUCAAAUUUUGCCAAACAUGUACGAAAAUCAUACCAUUAUCCUGAGAUUCACAGAUUUUAGCCGUUGAGGGUGACACCUAGCUUGUUCUAGAAGAUUUUUAAAUCCUUUUCUUGUCCUACGGAUGCGUGAGAUGUGCCUGAAGAAAAAUAGAUGGGUUGGGGCUGAUGGAAUCGGGUUUUCGCUGAUGUCGUUGGAGCCGAUGGGAUCGGGUAUUUAGAGUUGGUUGGUGUUGGUUUCUCAAUGUUUGGAAGCUGUUGUACGUGUAUAUUUGCUGUUCUGUAUCCUGAAGAAAGGAAAAAGGGAUGGACC